GGGUGAGUAACACGUGGAUUAUCUGCCCUGGAGUGGGGAAUAACGCUGGGAAACCGGCGCUAAUACCGCAUAUUCCCGAGAGGGGAAAGCAGCAAUGCGCUCGAGGAGGAGUCCGCGGCCGAUUAGCUAGUUGGUAGGGUAAAAGUCUACCAAGGCUGUGAUCGGUAGCCGGCCUGAGAGGGCACACGGCCACACUGGCACUGAAACACGGGCCAGACUCCUACGGGAGGCAGCAGUGGGGAAUCUUGCACAAUGGGGGAAACCCUGAUGCAGCGACGCCGCGUGAGCGAUGAAGCCCUUCGGGGUGUAAAGCUCUUUCGGCAGGGACGAUUAUGACGGUACCUGCAGAAGCAGCUGCGGCUAACUACGUGCCAGCAGCCGCGGUAAUACGUAGGCAGCAAGCGUUGUUCGGAGUUACUGGGCGUAAAGGGUGUGUAGGCGGCUCUCUAAGUUUGGUGUGAAAUCUCCCGGCUCAACCGGGAGGGUGCGCCGAAAACUGGGGGGCUAGAGUGCGGGAUGGGAGAGUAGAAUUCCUGGUGUAGCGGUGAAAUGCGUAGAUAUCAGGAGGAAUACCGGUGGUGUAGACGGCUCUCUGGACCGCAACUGACGCUGAGACACGUAAGCGUGGGUAGCAAACAGGAUUAGAUACCCUGGUAGUCCACGCCCUAAACGAUGCAUAUUUGGUGUAGGUCAUUCAGUUGAUCUGUGCCGGAGCUAACGCGUUAAAUAUGCCGCCUG
rnacentral:rRNA from 1 species